rnacentral:rRNA from 1 species
UACAGAGGUCUCAAGCGUUGUUCGGAUUCAUUGGGCGUAAAGGGUGCGUAGGUGGCGCGUUAAGUCAGGUGUGAAAUUUCGGAGCUUAACUCCGAAACUGCAUUUGAUACUGGCGUGCUUGAGGACUGGAGAGGAGACUGGAAUUCAUGGUGUAGCAGUGAAAUGCGUAGAGAUCGGGAGGAACACCAGUGGCGAAGGCGGCUACCUGGACCAGCACUGACACUGAGGCACGAAAGCGUGGGGAGCAAACAGGG